rnacentral:rRNA from 1 species
CAGCCGCCGCGGUAAUACGUAGGUGGCAAGCGUUGUCCAGAAUUAUUGGGCGUAAAGCGCGCGCAGGUGGUUUAAUAAGUCUGAUGUGAAAGCCCACGGCUCAACCGUGGAGGGUCAUUGGAAACUGUUAAACUUGAGUGCAGAAGAGGAGAGUGGAAUUCCACGUGUAGCGGUGAAAUGCGUAGAGAUGUGGAGGAACACCAGUGGCGAAGGCGACUCUCUGGUCUGUAACUGACGCUGAGGAGCGAAAGCGUGGGGAGCGAACAGGAUUAGAUACCCCCGUAGUCCCUGUCUCUUAUAC